AUGGUUCUGGAUAUUUUCACGUAAUUCAUUAUAAUUGUUCUUUGUCAAAUUAGUCUCGAGUCUUUGAAUCACAGCCACAGCAACCACAGCCCCAAUGGCUCAACUCUCGCCGGAAUAGAGUUCCCGGAGCACAUGAGCUUCAAUGCUGUGUCCUCUUCAUCCCACACCGCCUGUAGCUUUGUAAAGUCAGAGUCAACAACUACAGAAUCAUCGCCCAAUGAAGAAUCUGAUGAUGAAGAAGAUGAAGAUGAAGAAGCAGUUGGUUCUCAUAAACAAUCUGUGAAGCUCCACUUGAGGCAUGAAAAGAAAUCUGUUUUCGAGUCCACCGUCAAAGACUUGACCAGAAUUCAAACUCUGCACACCAGAAUUGUCGAGAGGAAGAACCAGAACACCAUUUCAAGGCUACACAAAGACAAGAAGGUCCCCACAAAGGAGGAGGUUGUUGUCGUUGCUCCGGCAGCCUCACCGGAGUCUUAUGUCAGCGCCAGCGAGCUUCCGGGACAGCUGGAGGCGACGUUGAAGUCCGGGGUGAGUCUUGGCUCAGGAGAGUACUUCAUGGAUGUUUUCAUUGGUACACCUCCUAAACACUUUUCUUUGAUACUUGAUACUGGUAGUGACCUCAAUUGGAUUCAAUGUGCACCUUGCUAUGAUUGUUUUGAGCAAAACGGACCGCAUUAUGAUCCGAAAGACUCAACUUCAUUUAGCAAUAUAGGCUGCCAUGAUCCGAGGUGUCAGUUGGUUUCGUCUCCUGACCCUCCUCAGCCUUGCAAAGCUGAGAAUCAGACAUGUCCUUAUUUCUAUUGGUAUGGAGAUAGUUCUAACACAACUGGGGAUUUUGCUCUUGAAACAUUUACUGUUAAUCUUACAUCGCCUGCUGGGAAGGCUGAGUAUCGGAAAGUUGAGAAUGUGAUGUUUGGUUGUGGCCAUUGGAAUAGAGGCUUGUUCCAUGGGGCUGCAGGGUUGUUGGGACUAGGGAGAGGGCCUCUCUCCUUUGCUUCUCAGCUUCAAUCACUAUAUGGUCAUUCGUUUUCGUAUUGUCUUGUUGAUAGAAACAGCGAUACGAAUGUUAGCAGCAAGUUGAUAUUUGGGGAGGACAAGGCCUUAUUGAGCCACCCGCAACUGAAUUACACAUCCUUGGUUGCUGGCAAAGAUAACCCUGUUGAUACAUUUUACUAUGUUCAGAUCAAAUCUAUCCUAGUUGGAGGAGAAGUGGUAAACAUACCGGAGGAGACUUGGAAAUUGUCAUCAGAAGGGGCAGGAGGUACAAUCAUUGAUUCAGGCACUACAUUGAGUUACUUUGCGGAUCCUGCAUAUGAUAUCAUCAAGGAGGCAUUUUUGAAAAAAAUUAAAGGGUAUCCGGUAGUGAAGGACUUUCCGGUUUUGGAUCCUUGCUACAAUGUGUCUGGAGUUGAGAAACUGGAGCUACCAGAAUUUGCAAUUGUGUUUGCAGAUGGAGCUGUUUGGGAUUUCCCAGUUGAGAACUACUUCAUCCAAAUUGAACCUCAAGAGGUUGUUUGCUUAGCGAUGUUGGGGACUCCAAAAUCUGCUCUUUCGAUUAUUGGUAACUAUCAGCAGCAGAAUUUUCACAUCCUCUAUGACACAAAGAAGUCUAGGCUGGGAUAUGCACCAAUGAAUUGCGCUGAUGUUUAACAAUCUUUGCUAGAUGGUGGAGAAACUUUGUCAACAUGGUAGUCUGGGAGGGCGGCACAAUUUUUUCUCUUCUUUUUAAUCUUUUUUCCUCUUAUUGAAAAUGAUCAGAGGUAAACAUACACAGAAAUUAGAUUCAUUGUUUUUUCCUUUCUUCUAUUGAUAGCCAAUUAGCUAGACAGGAUCAUAAUCUGUACUGUAACCAGAAGCAUCAAUGCUAUUUGUACACAUUUUAAACAGGUUUCAGCUUCUUACUUGCAUAAAUUUAUAGUUUAUAGUUUGAUAUUGUUCCACAGGUUAAGACCAGAAGUUUUACUCAGAAA